ensembl:lncRNA
GUUGCGCGCGCGAGCUAGCGGGUGGAGGGGUGGGGCUGGUACCCGAGGGAAGAAAGCGGGAGGUCGCGGAGCUGCCUUUGUAGCCGGGGCCGUGACGCCCAGCCCCCCCUGCGUGGCUCUCAGGCCGCCCUAUCAUUACCUGGGGCCGUGCUCCGCCCGCUCCCACUGCCACCUAAACAUUUAGGAUGUGUAUGGGGAAGAAUGGCUGAUGCGUUGCCAAAAAGUGUUCCCUGCCUCAGCCGUUGACCCAGGGUGCAGAAAGACCCGACUGAAGCAGAUUGCUGACUCGAAUCGCAGUGUACGUCCUGUCUGCUGGGGCAGAGCCUGUCCUAUACAGGCAGCCCAGCAGCGUCAGGGAAAUGUUACCUUGCCUCUGCUCCGGUCUAUGUGCCUCAUGACCCGGAAGAGGAAGCAGGCCCCAGAGCGCAUGUCAUGAGAUCCCCACCCCGCCCAGUGGCCUGGCACUUGGGCAGCUGCCCGGUCACCGUCCUCAGCGAAGAUGACCUCCCUGCCAAGCCAGGUGGAUCCACUUGGUGCUAUGGGAUCCUCUGCCCUGAAACUCCCUCAUAAUACUAGUAGAUAAUCAAUAAUAAUCAU